ACCACACCCAUCCUCACAUUACUUUCAUGAUGGUUAUCUUCUAAGAUUUCCAUUAUAAAAUACAGAGUGUGGUGAGCAUUCUUGUACAUACAUCUUACAUACUUGUGCAAAUAUAUAUGUAGGUUAAAUUCUAAGAUGUGGAAUUGCAAAGUUUGUAAAGUGUGUAGUUUUCAUUUGAUAAACUUAAAAAAUCAAUAUCAAAAUUAAAGUCAUAAUUUUAUAUUGAUAAGGCCCUGGUGAAUUUAUAAAAUCAAACUUAUUUUUCUAGGUCCUAGGCCUACUUACAAGCCUCCAGUCUCAAAUUAUCCAGGAUAUCCUAAACCUGAGGAAGGAAUACUUGACAGUUUGGGUUGGUAUAGCUAUCAUGACAAAUAUAAGUGGUAGUAUGUGUAGAAACGUGUAGGUAAUUAGUUUUUAUGAGGUGCCCAAACAUAGGAUCCUUGGUAGGGUAAGAUAACUUUCUUAAAUGCUGUGUUUGUAUGUAGGUUAAAAUAUAUAAAACACAAUUUUCUUUCCACAUUAUAUUGUUAUUUUGUGAUGGUAAUCUGUCGAUAAAUUUUCUUUCUAUUCAUAUCUUAUAUACAUGAACCUUAAAGCAAUCUAAGUUGGGUUUAUUUUUUCUGUAACACGCUGAUUUAACACACUUGAUGUAGGCUUACGCAGUUUACACAAUGCAUGUUAAAAAAAAAGAUGAAGUGCAGUUGUGAUAUAGGCCAAUGAAAAAUAAAGAUUUCUUAAUAAGUAAAA
rnacentral:lncRNA from 10 species